CGGACGGGUGAGGAAUACAUCGGAAUCUACUCUGUCGUGGGGGAUAACGUAGGGAAACUUACGCUAAUACCGCAUACGACCUACGGGUGAAAGCAGGGGAUCUUCGGACCUUGCGCGAUUGAAUGAGCCGAUGUCGGAUUAGCUAGUUGGCGGGGUAAAGGCCCACCAAGGCGACGAUCCGUAGCUGGUCUGAGAGGAUGAUCAGCCACACUGGAGCUGAGACACGGUCCAGACUCCUACGGGAGGCAGCAGUC
rnacentral:rRNA from 1 species